GGGGACAUAGCUCAGCUGGGAGAGCAACAGACUGAAGUGGAAUAGUAGAUUGACGCGUCUUCUGGAGGUCCCCAGUUCAAUCCUGGGUGUCCCCA